GAUGAACGCUAGCGGCAGGCUUAACACAUGCAAGUCGAGGGGUAUAGUUCUUCGGAAUUAGAGACCGGCGCACGGGUGCGUAACGCGUAUGCAAUCUAUCUUUCACAGAGGGAUAGCCCAGAGAAAUUUGGAUUAAUACCUCAUAGUAUAGCAGUUUCGCAUGAAACCACUAUUAAAGUCACAACGGUGAAAGAUGAGCAUGCGUCCCAUUAGCUAGUUGGUAAGGUAACGGCUUACCAAGGCAACGAUGGGUAGGGGUCCUGAGAGGGAGAUCCCCCACACUGGUACUGAGACACGGACCAGACUCCUACGGGAGGCAGCAGUGAGGAAUAUUGGACAAUGGGCGGCAAGCCUGAUCCAGCCAUG
rnacentral:rRNA from 1 species